rnacentral:tRNA from 1 species
GCCGAUGUGGUGGAAUUGGUAGACACGCUAUCUUGAGGGGGUAGUGCCUUUAUGGCGUGCCGGUUCGAUUCCGGCCAUCGGCACCA